UGCGGGUUAAUUUAAUAGUAAAAUAUUUGGCUCAUGACCAAAAGAUAUAAGUGCAAAUCUUGUAUCCGCAU